ensembl:snRNA U4 U4 spliceosomal RNA
AGCUUUGCGCAGUGGCAGUAUCGUAGCCAAUGAGGUUUAUCCGAGGCGCGAUUAUUGCUAAUUGAAAGAGUCGGAGGUUUAACCAACUGAGCCACCCGGGCGCCCCUAGAGCCUUUCUUCAGAGCAAAUUUAAGUAGCGUUUUCAGAU